GUGGGGAAUAUUGGACAAUGGGCGAAAGCCUGAUCCAGCCAUGCCGCGUGUGUGAAGAAGGUCUUCGGAUUGUAAAGCACUUUAAGUUGGGAGGAAGGGCAGUAAGUUAAUACCUUGCUGUUUUGACGUUACCGACAGAAUAAGCACCGGCUAACUUCGUGCCAGCAGCCGCGGUAAUACGAAGGGUGCAAGCGUUAAUCGGAAUUACUGGGCGUAAAGCGCGCGUAGGUGGUUUUGUAAGUUGGAGGUGAAAUCCCCGGGCUCAACCUGGGAACUGCCUACAAAACUGCAUGACUAGAGUACGGUAGAGGGGAGUGGAAAUUCCUGUGUAGCGGUGAAAUGCGUAGAUAUAGGAAGGAACACCAGUGGCGAAGGCGACUACCUGGACUGAUACUGACACUGAGGUGCGAAAGCGUGGGGAGCAAACAGGAUUAGAAACCCUUGUAGUCC
rnacentral:rRNA from 1 species